rnacentral:miRNA from 12 species
UGGUAGUGACUUCCCAAGUGAUG